UACAGUCUGUUAAGUCUAUACGGGGGAUCUUUGUCUUUGUGUGUGUGUGUGUGCAGCGCGCGAGGCGUGGAAGCGCCGCUACCUGCAUGAGAAGAGAGCCACCCCUGCGCUGGAGGAGGAGCUGCGUCCCGUUCGGGAGGAGCUGGACGCGCUGCUGUCCCGCAACGCGCACCUCACCGCCACCGUCACCACCCACACACUCAAGGACACGCUCCUCGCGCGACUGCAGGGCGCCCAGCAGCGCGUGGAGAAGCUCGUCGGAGACAUUGAGAGCGGCGCGGCGAAACUCCGCUCCGAGCAAAAGCUGCGGAAGGACGCCCAGCAGGAGCUCAAGGCGGCACGGGCGCAGUUGGCGCAGCGGAGGGCGCUGGCGUCCGUGGCAAGAAAACCCGGAGUCGCGUACGGGCUCUAGCGCGCUCGCCGCACGAGGGCGGAAUGUCCACCUUCGGGUCGAGAGCGGCCGCUGUCGACGAAGGCUUGUGUCCACCCCCCCCCCCCGCCACCGCGUGCUCAUUGGAGUGCGGAGGACACGCUUGGGAGUUCCUUUGCUUAUCUUUGCGUUAGUUUCUUCGCCGAAAGUAUUUCAUCGAAGAAACGCGUACGGCGCGCACGGCAACGAUAAUUACCAACGUUCGAUAUUUUGAAGCGCCUAUCUGCGCCGUGUGUUUCAAUAAAGUGGGGGGUGCUAUUUGUGCGCCAUUUAAUUAAACCCGCUCGGGUCUGCCCUGACAAGGAGAUGUUGUAUCUCAGUGGCACGGGGUAUGGGAUACCUAUCUGCGGCCUGUGGGCCAGACGCGCCCCAUGACUUCAUUUUAUACAGGCCGUGCGGAUUGCUUUUCUCCGGGUCCCUCCGGUUUUCCCCCUUCACAUUUAGAAUCAACGUGCGUUUCGAUGAUUUUGCUGCUAUACGUUUCCACGUGACGAUAAGAAACUUCAUCGAGGUAUAAUUUGUCACCAAGCCCACCAAGCUGUUAGUAGCUAAUUGCUCGGUGGGCUUUACCUGGUGAGAUAAAAAAACAGAGAGUUUAGUUAUAUUUGUAUGUAUGUAUAUUACUGGUAGGGACCUCCUGGUUACUACACCA